UCUGGAUAUGUUUAAAGGUGG
rnacentral:piRNA from 1 species